CUUUGGGGCCGGCCUUGCUAGCCUACCAGCUUCCUUUCGGUGAUGCUCUUUGCUACCGCCAGGCUCCUGACCCCGGUUUGGACAGCAGGCCGCCGAGCGCCCCAGGCGCCGGUUACAAAGGUGGCUGCGCAGAGGUGCGGCUCUGAGGCUGUGAUCUCUCCUAGAACGUUAGAGGCAUGAAGCUAGAAUAUCUUCCCCCUCAAGGAGAGUAAGCCAAGGGUAUAUGAGACAAGGACCCGGGGAGUUGGCCUCUUUGGUUCAUUCUUUGCACUGUUUAUGUAAGUACUAAACUGUCUCAAUCUAAAAGUGUUUCCUUGUAUCUUUACCAGUCAAAUCAGUCAGGCCUUGGCCUUGUCUAUAUUAGCUUGUUACCAUAUAAUCCUAAUUGCUGUCUUAUGUCUUUUACCUGUAAACUAAAAUAAUUAGGAUACUUGUGUUCAUUCAAAGGUUCUUACAUUAAAUAAAUACUGAAGGAAUACAAUGUUUUUAACUCAUUUGUAUUUGGGAAGCCUUAAGCCUUCAGUGAAUUAUCAAAUGCAGCUGUGGUGCCAAUUUAGCACCUAAGGGUGCUAAAGCACACAGUACUUUAUGAAGCUAAGAAGUCAGGAAUAUACUGGUACUGGAAAAUCCUGAAAAAUAAAGGCAUGGUUUAUAGAUGAAAUAUUCUUUCCAAUAAAGGGAAACUUAAAAAAAAGAGAAACUUGAUCAGAGAUGACAGUCUUAUGGUAUCUGAUUUUUCAUAUUUUCAGGUAAACAAAUACCUGGCAAAAUAACAGCUAUGUAUCUUUCACAAGUAGAAGGUGUGACAACCAUUUAUAUAAUAAACAUGUUAGGAACAUCUGUGGGAUGCCAUAUUCCAGGCUCUGUGCCUGACUCAGGACACAGACACAACCCAGUCUGGGUCUCAGAGCCAGUGGACCUCAGAAUUAAGAAGACAGAGAUAUUCAGGCUAAUAAGUAUAAUUUUGAUAAGAACUAUGACAACACAGGGCUGGGCAUGGUAGCUCAUACCUGUAAU